rnacentral:rRNA from 1 species
GAUCUGGCAGCAGUGGGGAAUAUUGGACAAUGGGGGCAACCCUGAUCCAGCCAUGCCGCGUGUGUGAAGAAGGCCUUAGGGUUGUAAAGCACUUUUAGUGGUGAGGAAGGGUGCGUAGUUAAUACCUGCGUACUUUGACGUUAGCCACAGAAGAAGCACCGGCUAACUCUGUGCCAGCAGCCGCGGUAAUACAGAGGGUGCAAGCGUUAAUCGGAAUUACUGGGCGUAAAGCGCGCGUAGGUGGUUUGUUAAGUCGGAUGUGAAAUCCCCGGGCUCAGCCUGGGCAUUGCACCCGAUACUGGCAGGCUAGAGUACGAGAGAGGGAUGUGGAGUUUCCUGUGUAGCGGUGAAAUGCGUAGAUAUAGGAAGGAACACCAGUGGCGAAGGCGGC